rnacentral:rRNA from 1 species
AUUGAACGCUGGCGGCAGGCCUAACACAUGCAAGUCGAGCGGGGUUUUCGGACCUAGCGGCGGACGGGUGAGUAAUGCGUAGGAAGCUACCCGAUAGAGGGGGAUACCAGUUGGAAACGACUGUUAAUACCGCAUAAUGUCUACGGACCAAAGUGUGGGACCUUCGGGCCACAUGCUAUCGGAUGCGCCUACGUGGGAUUAGCUAGUUGGUGAGGUAAUGGCUCACCAAGGCGACGAUCCCUAGCUGGUUUGAGAGGAUGAUCAGCCUCACUGGAACUGAGACACGGUCCAGACCCCUACGGGAGGCAGCAGUGGGGAAUAUUGGACAAUGGGCGCAAGCCUGAUCCAGCCAUGCCGCGUGUGUGAAGAAGGCCUUCGGGUUGUAAAGCACUUUCAGUAGGGAGGAAGCGUUGUGUGUUAAUAGUACACAGCGUUGACGUUACCUACAGAAGAAGCACCGGCUAACUCUGUGCCAGCCGCCGCCGUAAUAC